AUUGGACCUGGUGACAAGUGUCUGUAGUCUCAGCUACUUGGGAGGUUGAGACAGGAUGAUCUCUUGAGCUCAAGAGUUUGAGAUCAGCCUGGGCAACAUAGUGAGACCUGUCUCAU
rnacentral:sRNA from 1 species